rnacentral:rRNA from 1 species
AUUGAACGCUGGCGGCAGGCCUAACACAUGCAAGUCGAGCGGAGCGGCGGACGGGUGAGUAAUGCCUAGGAAUCUGCCUGGUAGUGGGGGAUAACGUCCGGAAACGGGCGCUAAUACCGCAUACUAUCAGAUGAGCCUAGGUCGGAUUAGCUAGUGGGUGGGGUAAAGCCCUACCAGGGCGACGAUCCGUAACUUGUCUGAGGGGAUGAGCAGUCACACUGGACUGGAGACACGGUCCAGACUCCUACGGGAGGCAGCAUUGGGGAAUAGUGGACAAUGGCCGAAAGCCUGAGGCAGCCAUGCCGCGUGUGUGAAGAAGGUCUUCGGAUUGUAAAGCACUUUAAGUUGGGAGGCGUUACCAGCAGAAUAAGCACCGGCGAACUUCGUGCCAGCAGCCGCGGUAAUUC